AAGUCGUAACAAGGUUUCCGUAGGUGAACCUGCGGAAGGAUCAUUACAUUUUAGUAGCCCGUAGCUGCUAUUCAGGUGGGGGUUCGGUUUAGCCCUGCAUAGCUUAAUCGCUGAUGAGCACAGACCCCCUGUUUGUACCCUUGUUUUUUGCGUACCAAAGUUUCCUCGGCGGGCUGCUCGCCGGAUGGACAAUACUAUAACCUUUUUAAUAUUCAAUCAGCGUCUGAAAAACUUGAAUAAUUACAA
rnacentral:misc_RNA from 1 species